rnacentral:rRNA from 1 species
GCAGCCAUGCCGCGUGUGUGAAGAGGCCUUCGGGUUGUAAAGCACUUUCAGCGAGGAGGAAAGGUCAGUAGCUAAUAUCUGCUGGCUGUGACGUUACUCGCAGAAGAAGCACCGGCUAACUCCGUGC